UGGUGAAACCUCAUCUCUACAAAAAAAUACCAAAAAAAUUAACCGGCCAUGGUAUUGGGUGCCUGUAAUCCCAGCUAUUCAGGAAGCCAAGUUGGGAAGAUCGCUUGAGCCCGGGGAAGUUGAGGCUGUAGUGAGUUGUGAUUGUGCCAUUGCACCAGCCCGGGUGAUAGAGCAAGACCUCUGUCUCAAAAAAAAAAAGUAUCAGUAUAUAUGUUAAAGUAUUUAUUAAAGUAUACAACAAAUAUAUGUAAACAAUACACUCACAGUAUCAGAGUAUAAAAUGAUUACUGAAAAAUAAAUUAAUUUGAAUAGUUACUCCAGAAAAUAAUUAAUGGGGAUUCUACUUGAAAAUUCACUUUUUUAUUUUGGAAUUGUGUUGAUUUUUAUCCUGACACCCUUUGUUCUGGUAUUAAUUUCCAUUACUAAAUUUUCCCAGCUUACCUCCUUUGAAUGAAUUGGGCCUUUUGCCCCUUUUCUCACACUGACAGUAUCCCAAGAGUGGUAAUAGGUGGGCAUGAAUGAGAGGUUCUAGGUUCUUGGUGUGGGUCGCAGAGAUCUGUUUUUUCUGUCUCACAACCCGCUUAGGUGAAUCUGUCUCUGUCAUCAAGCACACUGAUCCCGUCCCUGACCCACGAGCUGUCAACCAAGAUAAAAAGAACAUGCUGUUUUCUGGUACAAACAUUGCUGCUGGGAAAGCUAUGGGAGUGGUGGUAGCAACUGGAGUUAACACUGAAAUUGGCAAGAUCCGGGAUGAAAUGGUGGCAACAGAGCAGGAGAGAACACCCCUUCAGCAAAAACUAGAUGAAUUUGGGGAACAGCUUUCCAAAGUCAUCUCCCUUAUUUGCAUUGCAGUCUGGAUCAUAAAUAUUGGGCACUUCAAUGACCCGGUUCAUGGAGGGUCCUGGAUCAGAGGUGCUAUUUACUACUUUAAAAUUGCAGUGGCCCUGGCUGUAGCAGCCAUUCCUGAAGGUCUGCCUGCAGUCAUCACCACCUGCCUGGCUCUUGGAACUCGCAGAAUGGCAAAGAAAAAUGCCAUUGUUCGAAGCCUCCCGUCUGUGGAAACCCUUGGUUGUACUUCUGUUAUCUGCUCGGACAAGACUGGUACACUUACAACAAACCAGAUGUCAGUCUGCAGGAUGUUCAUUCUGGACAGAGUGGAAGGUGAUACUUGU
rnacentral:sRNA from 1 species